CCUCUCCCACCCCUGCCCCACCAACAGGUAUCUUUUAAAGUCCAAAUGAGAAUUGCAUAAUGAUUAUUGCUGCCGUUACUUGGCAUCGUCUCACAUUUUUAGGCAGUCUUUUAAAAAUAAGAUGAAUCAUCAUGGUAAUGAUAAACCCUGACAUAUGUGAAUGGCAAAAACUAAACAAAAGAUUUCAGUGACAGAUGAGUAAAAUGUUAUAAAGAAUGUUAUUGCAGUGUACGAAAUAUCUCAAAAAUGAAUAUUAUUAUUGCUUUUUAUCUCAGUAAGGUGUAUUUUAGGUAGACGUAUUAAAACUUAAGUGAUGAUGUUUUUUGAUGUCUGGCAGGUUUACAUUUGUGUGUAUCUUGCAUUUUUGAUCAAACAAACGGAUGAAGUAUUAGCUUUUUUCCCUCGAGCUCUUUUCUGUCCUAUCCGAUCUAUACCUUUACCUUUACAUGUGCUUGAGUUAGUAUAGCGGAAUCAGAACUGUGGAUGUGACGUCUCUACAGAAGGCUGUUAGUGCCUUAAUUACCAACAAGGAUUUGACCCAUGUAGAUUGUUACGAUGUGGACGUGGACGGCCUACCGAUGUACGUCUGUAGAACGUCAUCAACAGGGUUAGGUAACCUCUGUGCCGUGAGGAAAAGUCCCUGCUAACCAUUCACAACCAGCAUAUUUAAAACCUGAGCCCAAAGUGAACAUAAGCAGUGAAACUGGUGCUCUUCAGCCUGUCGGUCAGCUCACACAGAGACGUCGUUCCAGUCGUAGAAGAAGCGCUCUGAACAUCGCCGUGGUCGUGCCGUGGCCGAGCCCCGCACCACCUCCAAUCACCAUUAAGUAUUGAGUUUGAAAACGAAGAAAAAGAAAUCGGAGCACAUAAAAACAAAAAUGAUAACACAUGUUGCUGCUUUUAGCUGCGGUUGCUGAUGUAUGACAACUGUACACCACUAGAACAUUUCUUUUUUUUUUAGUUUUUUGUUGAAAGAUGGACAACGAGCUGAAAACAUGCACAAACCGAAACGACAAAGUGUUCAUCAUACCCCGGGCUCCAUCCCCUCUUCCUCCUUCUCUCUCAGCUGCUUCGUAGAGUCAAAGGUAAACGGGGUCAGAAAAACACGGCGAUAUCCGGGAGAACGCAGUCACCGAAUUCCCUGGCUUUGACAUUCAAAGCCCCGAGGGAAGUGACACAUGACUGAGUGCUCAACUCGAAGGUCUACAGCCAAGCGACGAGAACAGCAGCAGCAUGUCUGUCACUGUGAGGCGCUGGGACAGCAGUGUCGAAGCCACAACCCGACCACGGCCAUUGAGACCACGUAACUAAAAGAAGAAAAUCGAAACUUAGCACUUAAAGUGUCCAUCCCCUGAGCUGCUUGUGCAUCUAAAAGAACAACUUAAUGCUAAUAGUGACACAUCUGUAGUACUAGAAUUUUAGUUUGUGUGUUCCGUAGUGAAGCUCAUAAUUUUUCACAUCACAUGUGGUAAAAAGUAGUUAAGAAGUACAAUAUUUUUUUGAUAUUUUAACAAAGUCUGGCCGGGUGAAAAACUUCAACAGCCAUCUACUUAUUUGGGUAUCAUCAGUAACUGCGCCGCUAUCACCUGAUCAGUUACAAAAACACAAUUUCAACAUUUUCAGUCGUAGUAGUAUGGACAGAUACUCUGACACUGCGGCAAGGCGCUUAUACUUACAUACUACAUCAUGGGCAUGAAUACAAAAUGAUCACAUGAGUGAUUUAGUCACUCUGACACCCUCCACAUGAGAUGCGACGCAUGUUCCCGCUCCCCCCUCACAACUGCUGGCGUGAUGCUAUCUGUUACUUGGCUGUAGCUCUAUUACCUCGACCUGCACCUACCAGGGAUGCACUUAUCCUCACUUUUUCCUCUUUAGUACUUUUGCAGAAUACAAACAUUUAAGGGAAUUUGUUCAUCAGUUUAACUGAUUUGAUUUUAAUAAUGCUUGCUCUUCCCCCCCUCUCUUUUUUUGCUUUUAGUAAGAAAACUGGAUACAGCCUAAUGCAGGCGACAUCCACAUGUAGUUUUAUAUAUUUCUAGCUUAAUGUAAGUCUUGCAUUCCAAACUCUUUGUGUAUCUCGUUUAGGGACAUAGCCCAUCUUAUUUUUAUCACUUUCUAUACAGCCACAUCUGGAAUAAAAAGGGUGAACGAAAAUAGAAUAUUUGCAUUCACUUACACUAUUUUAUAUAGCAUGGAGUUUAUCAACUACAGGGAGAAUUAUAUAAAUGAUGUGCUUUGGAGAAAAAGAAAUGAGAAGUCUUGCUUUUUUGUUACAUAUCUCACAUGCGAUCAGUUGCUGCAGUGUAGAAGGGACAGAUUUGUAUAUUGGUUGAUCCAAAGAGAUGAUGAACACAACAAUAGAACUAUUGACUUAUUGUACAGUACAGUGUAUCUUUGAGUUGUCAUGUGUUAUGUUGAAAUAAUUAAAAGACAAACCAGCGGUUUCAUACCCUCUCUGCAUUCAAUUUGUUUUUAUUUUGAAUUAUUUGUGUCCUUUUUGUUUUUGAACUGUAAACAAAAGAAUAUAACAAAAUUCAUAAUUAAAUAUUAGAUUGAGUUGU
ensembl:lncRNA